rnacentral:miRNA from 1 species
UAAAUGUGUUGGAAUUAAGGUU